rnacentral:scRNA from 1 species
GCAGCACCAGGUGUGAGCACGCACGGAGCGCUGUGGUGGUCAUGUAUGAUGCUGC